GAGUUUGAUCCUGGCUCAGAGCGAACGCUGGCGGCAGGCUUAACACAUGCAAGUCGAGCGGAUUCUGGCAGAGUAUCGUCAGAGUUAGCGGCAGACGGGUGAGUAAUGUUUAGGUAAUCUUCCCUCAUGUGGGAAACAACCGGUCGAAAGGCUGGCUAAUGUCCCAUAAGACCACAGGAUGGCAUCAUCAAGGGGUCAAAGCUCCGCAAGGGGCGCAAGAGGAGGAACUUAAAACCUAUCAGGUAGUUGGUGAGGUAACGGCUCACCAAGCCUACGACGGGUAGCCGGCCUGAAAGGGUGAUCGGCCACACUGGCACUGAGACACGGGCCAGACUCCUACGGGAGGCAGCAGUGGGGAAUUUUGGACAAUGGGGGCAACCCUGAUCCAGCGACGCCGCGUGAAGGAUGAAGGCCU
rnacentral:rRNA from 1 species